rnacentral:lncRNA from 1 species
GUUUCCAGUGCCCUUUUUCAUGACAAUAGAAGAACUCUGCUUCCUUUGGAUUGGAUAAGGGAGUAGUAGAACCACCUUUGGACCCACUAGAAUUGGAUACAUCAUGAGACUUUCCCUUGUGAUUCUUUGUAGGAGCUUUCCUUUUCUUCCCUUCCCAUGUCCAAUUUCUAGGACCGAGGCAGCAGUAUGAGUGAAUACCACAGACUUGCAUUUUAAACUACUUUCAGUAGUUCUUAGAAGGCCUUGAACUUGUUUAGAGUGACUUCCUCCUUGUUCAUAUGAUAAGUCAUACAGAGCUGAUUAUAACAAGGAGGCAAGGAGUGUAGGAUAAUGUCAAUAACCAACUCUUCAUCAAAGUUGACAUUUAACUUCAUAAAGCGGUCCACAUAUCUCUGCAUCUUUUGCAAGUGGGCCAUGAUGGACUCUCUCCAUCCUUCAUUUUAGUUGUUAUCAUGGAGACAAUGAUUUCAUACCUUUCUUGUCGAGCACUCUGAUGGUAAGUCCUGGUGUAUCUCGAAAGGCCAGAAGUCCUCAUAGGACUUUUGAAGCUUAGAAGUCAUAGUGGUUAGCAUGAUGCACGAUACCUUUGUCGCAUCCUUUUCAUGAGCCCUAUACUCAGCCAAUUGCUCAGGAGUACCAGUUUCUUCAUCAAUCUCCUUUAGCUCUUUGUUGAGGACAUAUUUGUUUUCUUCGUAUCGAAUGGCCAUGUGAAUGUUUCAAAUCCAGUCAUUGAAAUUCGACCCAUUAAAAAUGACCCUCCCACAUAAGUUCAUGAAGGAGAAAGAUCCAGAAUCAUUUUGUAACACCCAGUUUCUAGCUAGCUAAUACAAAUUUAAGGGUUAUAAAAUAAUCUGGAUAAUAAUUUCAUUCAAGGAUAAUUUAUGGGGUUAGAUAGUCGAGUUAUUACACAAAACACAUUUACGGGUGAAGUGGACGAAUUAGAUCAAGUUAAAUAAGAGCUUUAAGUGAAUUGUUGAUUAAGCUCACUGCGAAGGUUAAUAAUAAUAAUAAUAAUUUGAAUGUGUUAGUCCAAGGGCCAAACAGUAAUAUUCGGAAAUCAAAUUGUUAAGACAAUCAGAGGGUUUUAAUCGUCAAGCUUCAAGAAACCUAGGGACCAAACCUAUAACCUUCAACACCAUGUUCACUCUUCCUGAUUCGUCGAUGGAAGCUUGUCGUUUUCCCUAUCAUGGUCCUGCAAUUGUUGAUGCAAAUGUAGGGAGCUGGUCCCAUUCCUUUACUCGUUCCAUUGGCCAUUUAAAUCUAGUGUGACUCUCCAAUAUGUAUGGAUCCCUUCUCUUCAAUCUGCAAUUUCAAAAAUUAGUGAGAGAAAGAGAAAUGUAGCAUAGUGAGGGCUUUCGUAUGCGGGUGUGCAAGCUCCGAUGGUCUCUCGAGCCCCCGAUGUUGUUCGUGGUCCCUUCUGACAAGUGUAGACGGGGUCCUUCGGCAGUUGAAUGGAGAGAAUUGUGAAAUCUUUAAAGGUUAUUCCCCUGUCAUCGUCCAAACGAGAGAACCGAUCGAUGGGAGCAGGAACAUCAAGAGUGUUUGAGUGAGGUGAGCUCGAUUUUCAGAGAUGCCGAAGACAUCAGGCUCACAGAGGCAUAUUCUCUUGAGCCACCUGUGAGCACUGAACCCGAAUAAGGACGAGAGAGAAAAGUAAUUCAUCUCGUUUUCUUCUUUCCGCAGCAUAAUCUCAGGUGCAAGUGAGUUUAGAUCCCAUCGAAUCAUGCUUUCAAUUGUGCUUUGUCUCCAUCUCCAUGGCUACACCCAAGAAGCGUUCCAGAUGGAGGGAAUGGGGAUUUGCGGAUGACCAUGGUCAACGGAUGAAAUGGAGACGUUGGGGAUGAGGUGAUUUUCAAGCAUCGAUGAAGGAACCUACUUCAAUUCCAUUGGAGCGUAGGAGGAGUUUAGUGGCGCAUUGCUAGGUCCGACAUGGGAUGCGUCGCUGGAGGUUGAUUGCACCGACCCUCUGAGGACGCAAUGGGCAAUAGAGUUCAAGCAAGGAUGGAGUAUUUUGACCUAAUCCUAAUCCACCUCAUCUUUUAAGGUAUUAGCCUUUAAUUCAUUUGGGCUAAUAUCAUAUAGGUUCAAUUAGUUUAUUUUGGGCUUAUAUCAUAUGGAUUCAAUUAGUUUAUUUUGGGCUUAUAUCAUAUGGAUUCAAUUAGUUUAUUUUGGGCUUAUAUCAUAUGGAUUCAAUUAGUUUAUUUUGGGCUUAUAUCAUAUGGAUUCAAUUAGUUUAUUUUUAGGCUAAGUGACAUUGGGUUUAAGUUCAAGAUAAAUAUAAUAUAUGGUAAAGCCAUAUUAUUUAUAAUUAGAACAAAAAUGGAUUUUUGUUAUCUAAUUUAGUAGAUGGCAAAUAAUUAUGAAUAUGGUUUGCGUAAAUUAAUUACAAGGUAAUUAAUUUAAUAAAAAUUAACUAGAUUGAUAAAGUUGUAUGGAUUUUCUUAGGUCUAGGAUUUUAAUAUAGUAUGGUUAAAAUAUUAACGACUUUUAUGUAUAGUAUUUUAACGAGAAGGACUCUAGGAGUUAGCAUUUCCCCACAUAAUAAUGCAAGUAAAUAAAAAGUACAUUAUGAAAUAUUAAUGAGUAAUAUUUGAAGUAUGAACUAAGUAAGGAGUAUUAAUAUCAUUGUAGGUGACCAGAGAGCAGAGAAUCUGUCUUAGCUGUUUUGGUAGUAUAUUUUGUGUUUUGCUGCUUCAGGUAAGUCUCCUCAUUGUUUGUAUAGGUCUAAGGCACCAAUGUCGGCCCUUUUAGUUUAUGUAUGGUAAGAAGACCCGGUGGUUAGCCCUAGGCAUUAUGCAUGAAAGACCAGGAGGUGGCUCUUGGCACACUGUAUGUUAUUAUGUAUGAAAGACCAGGAAGCUGCUCCCGGCACACUCUAUAUUAUUAUGUAUGGUAGGAAGACCCGGGGGUUAGCCCAAGACAUUAUGUAUGAAGGACCAGGCGGUGGCUCCUGACACACUGUAUUCUAUUAUGUAUGAAAGACCAGGAGGUGGCUCCUGGCACACUGUAUGCUAAUUGGCUAAGUAGAGUAGUAUGUAUGCUAGUUGUCUUUGUGAUGCCUUCAUGGAAGACCAGGAGGUGGCUCUUGGCACUUGUCUGUGAGACCGAUGGGGUGGCCCCCAGCUUAGCAAGAAAGACCACGUGGUGGCUCGUGGCAUAAUGGCAAGACUAUGUUUGGCACAUAGCAUCUUUACUGAUUAUGAUAUAUGUAUGGCUCAUGGUUAUGUAUGACAGUAUGCAAGUAUGUGUUUAUAUGCUAGACAGUAUCCGGUUGAAAGAGACCGAAGGGGUAGGCUAGCACCCAGAUAUGCUAUGCAAUAUGUUGAUAUGUAUGGUAUGUGGUAUUUGUUGGAUUAUGUGUGUAAGCCCAUAACUAUUAUUGGUAUGUAUUCGACCCGAGAGUACCAUGGUCCAUUUAGGUUGCAUAUCAUCAGGACAAUUUGUUAGGAUGGACUUUUGAGAGAAG